AGAUUGAACGCUGGCGGCAGGCCUAACACAUGCAAGUCGAGCGGCAGCACGGGUACUUGUACCUGGUGGCGAGCGGCGGACGGGUGAGUAAUGCCUAGGAAUCUGCCUGAUAGUGGGGGAUAACGUUCGGAAACGGACGCUAAUACCGCAUACGUCCUACGGGAGAAAGUGGGGGAUCUUCGGACCUCACGCUAUCAGAUGAGCCUAGGUCGGAUUAGCUAGUUGGUAGGGUAAGGCCUACCAAGGCUACGAUCCGUAACUGGUCUGAGAGGAUGAUCAGUCACACUGGAACUGAGACACGGUCCAGACUCCUACGGGAGGCAGCAGGUGGGGAAUA
rnacentral:rRNA from 1 species